UUAAAUCCUAUGAAAAGGGAUAGUAAUCAUGAAACAAAGUUAAAGAGAGCUGAAGAUGGUGAGAUUUCAGUACGGCAGUUAGUGAUGAAUGGGCCUUUGAGGAGCGAGAUGAAAUCUUUUGAGAGUAGUUUAGUCGUAAGUCGCACGUUAUAGCGAAUAAGAUAUUUUUUGUAUCUGAAAUGAGAGGCAUUUUAUGCAAUCUAGGUGGCAACGCGGAUAAUCUCCGUCCUAUUA
rnacentral:ncRNA from 1 species